rnacentral:rRNA from 1 species
UUCAGGUGAGAUACAGCCACCUUCGUAUCUUCUUACUUUCGUAAGCGUAUAACAGCUUAGUAAGCGUUCGGCUUUAGUGUUUAUUAUUCCUUAACCACGCUUUACGCCGGAGCUUGUCAACUUGGGCUUCUCGUAUAACCGCGGUAGCUGGCACGAGUUUUACCAGCCCUUUUAACCAUAACUAAGUCAAGUUUGCACUUAUUGGCUUAAUGUCUGUCACUGCUGAGUUCCCUUGGGGGUGUGGCUGAGCAAGGUGUUGUGGGCUAUAAGGGCAUGUGCCUGAUACCAGCUCCUUGUUCCCGGACGGGGAACUGUGGGGCAUUCUCACGGGGGUGCGGAUACUCGCAUGUGUAAAUCUGGUUAAAGCUGACAGGAAAGUCAGGACCAAGCCUUUG